UACGUAGGGUGCGAGCGUUAAUCGGAAUUACUGGGCGUAAAGCGUGCGCAGGCGGUUCGUUGUGUCGGUGGUGAAAGCCCCGGGCUCAACCUGGGAAUGGCCGUUGAAACUGGCGAACUGGAGUGUGGCAGAGGGGGGUGGAAUUCCGCGUGUAGCAGUGAAAUGCGUAGAGAUGCGGAGGAACACCGAUGGCGAAGGCAGCCCCCUGGGCUGACACUGACGCUCAGGCACGAAAGCGUGGGGAGCAAACAGG
rnacentral:rRNA from 1 species